UGAGGAAUAUUGGUCAAUGGACGAGAGUCUGAACCAGCCAAGUAGCGUGCAGGAUGACGGCCCUAUGGGUUGUAAACUGCUUUUGUUUGGGAAUAAUCGACAUUACGUGUAAUGUUUUGCAUGUACCAUUCGAAUAAGGACCGGCUAAUUCCGUGCCAGCAGCCGCGGUAAUACGGAAGGUCCAGGCGUUAUCCGGAUUUAUUGGGUUUAAAGGGAGCGUAGGCUGUCUAUUAAGCGUGUUGUGAAAUUUACCGGCUCAACCGGUGGCUUGCAGCGCGAACUGGUCGACUUGAGUAUGCAGGAAGUAGGCGGAAUUCAUGGUGUAGCGGUGAAAUGCGUAGAUAUUUGGAGGAACACCGGUGGCGAAGGCGGCUUACUGGACGAAAACUGACGUUGAGGCUCGAAGGCGUGGGGAGCAAACAGG
rnacentral:rRNA from 1 species